rnacentral:rRNA from 1 species
CACGUAGGGCGCAAGCGUUGUCCGGAAUUAUUGGGCGUAAAGAGCUCGUAGGUGGUUUGUUACGUCUGCUGUGAAAACCUAGGGCUUAACCCUGGGCUUGCAGUGGAUACGGGCAGACUAGAGGUAGGUAGGGGGAGAAUGGAAUUCCUGGUGUAGCGGUGAAAUGCGUAGAGAUCAGCAGGAAUACCCGUGGCGAAGGCGGCCCCCUGGGCCGUACCUGACGCUGAGGCGCGAAGGCUAGGGGAGCGAACGGG